rnacentral:tRNA from 1 species
GCGGAUGUAGUUCAAUGGUAGAACUUCAGCUUCCCAAGCUGAUGGUGCGGGUUCGAUUCCCGUCAUCCGCUCCA